AUUUGAUAAUGGGGACAUCUAAUAAGUAAAGCAUUAAAACGGUCCCAAUAUUCAAAUAAAGACUCCUUUGCAUGUUGUGUGAUUCCACAUAUUUAUUUCCUCAUGAU